GCAGUCGAACGAAGUCGCCCAAUUGAUUCUUAGUGCUUGCAUUAAGAUGAUUUUGGAUCCGACUGAGUGGCGAACUGGUGAGUAACACGUGGGUAACCUGCCCAGAAGAAGGGGAUAACACCUGGAAACAGAUGCUAAUACCGUAUAACAACAAGAACCACAUGGUUCUUGUUUGAAAGCUGGCCUUUGUGCUAGUGCUUCUGGAUGGACCCGCGGCGUAUUAGCUAGUUGGUGAGAUAAUAGCUCACCAAGGCAAUGAUACGUAGCAGACCUGAGAGGGUAAUCUGCCACAAUGGGACUGAGACACGGCCCAUACUCCUACGGGAGGCAGCAGUAGGGAAUCUUCCACAAUGGACGAAAGUCUGAUGGAGCAACGCCGCGUGAGUGAAGAAGGGUUUCGGCUCGUAAAACUCUGUUGUUAGAGAAGAACAGCCGUGAGAGCAACUGCUCACGGUAUGACGGUAUCUAACCAGAAAGUCACGGCUAACUACGUGCCAGCAGCCGCGGUAAUACGUAGGUGGCAAACGUUGUCCGGAUUUAUUGGGCGUAAAGGGAGCGCAGGCGGUUUAUUAAGUCUGAUGUGAAAGCCUUCGGCUUAACCGGAGAAGUGCAUCGGAAACUGAUAAACUUGAGUGCAGAAAAGGAUAGUGGAACUUCAUGUGUAGCGGUGAAAUGCGUAGAUAUAUGAAGGAACACCAGUGGCGAAGGCGGCUAUCUGGUCUGUAACUGACGCUGAGGCUCGAAAGCAUGGGUAGCAAACAGGAUUAGAUACCCUGGUAGUCCAUGCCGUAAACGAUGAAUGCUAGGUGUUGGAAGGUUUCCGCCUUUCAGUGCCGCAGCUAACGCAUUAAGCAUUCCGCCUGGGGAGUACGACCGCAAGGUUG
rnacentral:rRNA from 2 species